CUAAGGCUCCAGAGGAAGCCACGGCUAACUCUGUGCCAGCGGCCGCGGUAAUACAGAGGCGGCAAGCGUUGUUCGGAAUUAUUGGGCGUAAAGAGCACGUAGGCGGCCUUGCAGGUCAGUUGUGAAAGCCUUCCGCUUAACGGAAGAAUGCCAGCUGAUACUACGGGGCUUGAGUACGGGAGGGGAGAGUGGAACUUCUGGUGGAGCGGUGAAAUGCGUAGAUAUCAGAAGGAACGCCGGCGGCGAAAGCGACUCUCUGGCCCGAAACUGACGCUGAGUGUGCGAAAGCUAGGGGAGCAAACGGGAUUAGAUACCCCGGUAGUCCUAGCCGUAAA
rnacentral:rRNA from 1 species